UCCGGCUUAUCACCGGCGGUCCCACUAGAGUGCCCAACUAAAUGAUGGCAACUAAUGGCGAGGGUUGCGCUCGUUGCGGGACUUAACCCAACAUCUCACGACACGAGCUGACGACAGCCAUGCAGCACCUGUGUUCCGGCCCAUUGCUGGGAGGACCCUCUUUCAAAGGCCGUUCCGGACAUGUCAAGGCUUGGUAAGGUUCUUCGCGUUGCGUCGAAUUAAACCACAUGCUCCACCGCUUGUGCGGGCCCCCGUCAAUUCCUUUGAGUUUCAAUCUUGCGAUCGUACUUCCCAGGUGGGAUACUUAAUGCUUUCGCUCAGACACUAACUGUGUAUCGCUAAUGUCGAGUAUCCAUCGUUUAGGGCGUGGACUAC
rnacentral:misc_RNA from 1 species